rnacentral:rRNA from 1 species
GCGGCAGGCCUAACACAUGCAAGUCGAGCGCGCCCUUCGGGGUGAGCGGCGGACGGGUGAGUAACGCGUGGGAACGUGCCCUUUGCUGCGGAAUAGCCACUGGAAACGGUGAGUAAUACCGCAUGAGCCCUUCGGGGGAAAGAUUUAUCGGCAAGGGAUCGGCCCGCGUUGGAUUAGGUAGUUGGUGGGGUAAUGGCCUACCAAGCCGACGAUCCAUAGCUGGUUUCAGAGGAUGAUCAGCCACACUGGGACUGAGACACGGCCCAGACUCCUACGGGAGGCAGCAGUGGGGAAUCUUAGACAAUGGGCGCAAGCCUGAUCUAGCCAUGCCGCGUGAGUGACGAAGGCCCUAGGGUCGUAAAGCUCUUUCGCCUGUGAAGAUAAUGAUGGUAGCAGGUAAAGAAACCCCGGCUAACUCCGUGCCAGCAGCCGCGGUAAUACGGAGGGGGUUAGCGUUGUUCGGAAUUACUGGGCGUAAAGCGCGCGUAGGCGGACCAUCAAGUUGGGGGUGAAAUCCCGGGGCUCAACCCCGGAACU